rnacentral:rRNA from 1 species
AUCUUUCACAAUGGGCGCAAGCCUGAUGCAGCGACGCCGCGUGAGGGAAGAAGGCCUUCGGGUUGUAAAGCACUUUUGGCAGGGAAGAAAAGGCUCUGGCUAAUACCUGGAGCUGCUGACGUUACCAACAGAAUAAGCACCGGCUAACUGCGUGCCAGCAGCCGCGGUAAUACGCAGGGUGCAAGCGUUAAUCGGAAUUACUGGGCGUAAAGCGCGCGUAGGUGGUUCGUUAAGUUGGAAGUGAAAGCCCCGGGCUUAACCUGGGAAUUGCUUUCAAAACUGACGAGCUAGAGUACGGUAGAGGGUAGUGGAAUUUCCUGUGUAGCGGUGAAAUGCGUAGAUAUAGGAAGGAACAUCAGUGGCGAAGGCGACUACCUGGACUGAUACUGACACUGAGGUGCGAAAGCGUGGGGAGCAAAC